AUUGAACGCUGGCGGCAGGCCUAACACAUGCAAGUCGAGCGGUAGAGAGAAGCUUGCUUCUCUUGAGAGCGGCGGACGGGUGAGUAAUGCCUAGGAAUCUGCCUGGUAGUAGGGGAUAACGUUCGGAAACGGACGCUAAUACCGCAUACGUCCUACGGGAGAAAGCAGGGGACCUUUGGGCCUUGCGCUAUCAGAUGAGCCUAGGUCGGAUUAGCUAGUUGGUGGGGUAAUGGCUCACCAAGGCGACGAUCCGUAACUGGUCUGAGAGGAUGAUCAGUCACACUGGAACUGAGACACGGUCCAGACUCCUACGGGAGGCAGCAGUGGGGAAUAUUGGACAAUGGGCGAAAGCCUGAUCCAGCCAUGCCGCGUGUGUGAAGAAGGUCUUCGGAUUGUAAAGCACUUUAAGUUGGGAGGAAGGGCAGUAAAUUAAUACUUUGCUGUUUUGACGUUACCGACAGAAUAAGCACCGGCUAACUCUGUGCCAGCAGCCGCAGUAA
rnacentral:rRNA from 1 species